rnacentral:snRNA from 1 species
GUGCUCGCUUCGGCAGCGCAUAUACUAAAGUUGGAACGAUACAGAGAUUAGCAUGGCUCCUGCGCAAGGAUGACACGUAAAUUCGUGAAGCGUUCCGUCUUCUU